rnacentral:rRNA from 1 species
AGAGUUUGAUCCUGGCUCAGGAUGAACGCUAGCUACAGGCUUAACACAUGCAAGUCGAGGGGCAGCAUGGUCUUAGCUUGCUAAGGCCGAUGGCGACCGGCGCACGGGUGAGUAACACGUAUCCAACCUGCCGUCUACUCUUGGACAGCCUUCUGAAAGGAAGAUUAAUACAAGAUGGCAUCAUGAGUCCGCAUGUUCACAUGAUUAAAGGUAUUCCGGUAGACGAUGGGGAUGCGUUCCAUUAGAUAGUAGGCGGGGUAACGGCCCACCUAGUCUUCGAUGGAUAGGGGUUCUGAGAGGAAGGUCCCCCACAUUGGAACUGAGACACGGUCCAAACUCCUACGGGAGGCAGCAGUGAGGAAUAUUGGUCAAUGGGCGCUAGCCUGAACCAGCCAAGUAGCGUGAAGGAUGAAGGCUCUAUGGGUCGUAAACUUCUUUUAUAUAAGAAUAAAGUGCAGUAUGUAUACUGUUUUGUAUGUAUUAUAUGAAUAAGGAUCGGCUAACUCCGUGCCAGCAGCCGCGGUAAUACGGAGGAUCCGAGCGUUAUCCGGAUUUAUUGGGUUUAAAGGGAGCGUAGGUGGACUGGUAAGUCAGUUGUGAAAGUUUGCGGCUCAACCGUAAAAUUGCAGUUGAUACUGUCAGUCUUGAGUACAGUAGAGGUGGGCGGAAUUCGUGGUGUAGCGGUGAAAUGCUUAGAUAUCACGAAGAACUCCGAUUGCGAAGGCAGCUCACUGGACUGCAACUGACACUGAUGCUCGAAAGUGUGGGUAUCAAACAGGAUUAGAUACCCUGGUAGUCCACACAGUAAACGAUGAAUACUCGCUGUUUGCGAUAUACAGUAAGCGGCCAAGCGAAAGCAUUAAGUAUUCCACCUGGGGAGUACGCCGGCAACGGUGAAACUCAAAGGAAUUGACGGGGGCCCGCACAAGCGGAGGAACAUGUGGUUUAAUUCGAUGAUACGCGAGGAACCUUACCCGGGCUUAAAUUGCAGAUGAAUUACGGUGAAAGCCGUAAGCCGCAAGGCAUCUGUGAAGGUGCUGCAUGGUUGUCGUCAGCUCGUGCCGUGAGGUGUCGGCUUAAGUGCCAUAACGAGCGCAACCCUUGUUGUCAGUUACUAACAGGUUCCGCUGAGGACUCUGACAAGACUGCCAUCGUAAGAUGUGAGGAAGGUGGGGAUGACGUCAAAUCAGCACGGCCCUUACGUCCGGGGCUACACACGUGUUACAAUGGGGGGUACAGAGGGCCGCUACCACGCGAGUGGAUGCCAAUCCCCAAAACCUCUCUCAGUUCGGACUGGAGUCUGCAACCCGACUCCACGAAGCUGGAUUCGCUAGUAAUCGCGCAUCAGCCACGGCGCGGUGAAUACGUUCCCGGGCCUUGUACACACCGCCCGUCAAGCCAUGGGAGCCGGGGGUACCUGAAGUGCGUAACCGCGAGGAGCGCCCUAGGGUAAAACUGGUGACUGGGGCUAAGUCGUAACAAGGUAGCCGUACCGGAAGGUGCGGCUG